AGAUUUUGAGUUGACCUCAAUUUAUAAUUUGCACUUAUAAGAAAUAUAUAUAUAAAUAUAUAAAAUCUU
rnacentral:tRNA from 1 species